UUUGAAGGAAGCUAGGAAUCCUCAAUGGUUUUUAUAAUGGCUUAGAGAUUAAAAAAAAAAAGGAAAGUUACAUAAGAGAGAUCACAAGUAGAGCCAUUUUAUUGGAUCAAAAGGUAUGUAUGGGCAAGAUUGACGAAAUAGGUCUACAAAAGUAAGCCAGACCUAGAUUCUGAAAUGCUUUAAAAGUCAAACGAAGGUGUUUGUGUUUAAUACUAGAGGCAACAUGGAGGAUUAGUUUGAUAUUUGUAAAAAAAUUGAGACAAAUGGUUUCAGUAGUACAAGUAAGAAGUGAUGAGGUCCUGAACUACAGUGGUAACAUUUUAAGUGAAGAGAAAGGGUCAUGUCUGAGGCAUUGCAUAAAGAGGUAGAAAAAAUUAAGUUCAAUGUGGAAUUAGGGAGGAACGAGGUAAAAAGAUCAAGAGGGGGAUAGAUUCAGGAUAUUAACCAUAAGAAAAAGAAACUCCUCUUUUGGAUAUUUGAAUCAGGAAGGAAGGAAUAAAAAGGAAAGAAAAGACAAGAACAUGUUUGGGAACUGAGCUGAUAAAAAAAAAAAAGAACAGUGAAACCGAAGCAGAUAGCUUCAAAUGUGAAUCUCUAAUAAGGUAUGGGCAAAGUAAGCAACAUGUAUAAGAAAAUAGGAUGAAAGGAAAUUUCUAAUUAAUGAUUAUAACUAUGAGUGUGAAUGGGAUGAACUCAUCCAUAAAACAGAGGACAAAGAAGAAUCAAUUAAAAAUAGAAUUCAACAAUAUAUUUUAUAAUUUUUUUCAAUAAAUAUACUAAUACCAAAGGAAUAAAAAAAUUAAAAUAAGAUACUGGAAUAAAAUGUAUUUUUAGGUCAACUCAAAGGAGCUUGUUAACAAUCAUGACCUUAAAGUACACAGGAGUUUUUUGUUUUAAACAGAAGAGGUAAACAGGGAAACUAUAUUGUGCUUAAAGGUACCAAAGACAAUGACUUGAAAUCAACUUUUAAUGCAUACACCAAAUACUAUAGCAUUUAAAUACUUAAAGGAAAAAUUAUGGAAAAACUGAGAGUACAAUUAUAAUAGUUCAGAUUUCAAUGUAUCCUUCUUAGACUUAGACAAAUCUAAGCAAGUGAUAAAUAAGAAAGAAUUUAAAGAUCUGAAUAGAAUUUUAGAUAACUAUAACUAUAAUAGUAAUUGCUUAAUUGGAACAUAAAUUAAAUAUAUCUAUAUCUGUAAACUGCAUACUAUCUUUACAAAAAUUCACCAUGCAUUUAAGAAUAGAAAUCUCAAAAGCAGAUAUAGAAAAGCAGAGACCUUUAAGACAUCCUAUACUGAUCAUAACAGUAGGAAUUAUGUUUAAUAAGGGGCUUUGAAGAAGAGAUUCAAAUUAAAUGUAGGCUAAAUCAUCUAAUCCCAAAGAAUUACCGAACAGAGGGCGAUUAGGGGGUUCAAUGGAUAGAGUCAGGUCUGGAGAUGGGGACUACUGGGUUCAAAUUUGUCCUCAGACACUUCCCAGCUGUGUGAUCCUUACCACCACUGCCUAGUGCAAUGACGGCAAAUCUUGGGAGGCUGAGUGCACAAACUGCAACCCUCAUGCCCCAUGUGAGCCCCCCAUCUGGCCCCAAACAGGGGAGGAAGGAAGUGCUCCCAUUGGGCUGCUGGGCAGAGGGGGCGGGUCAUGUGAGAAAUGUCUUUCAGGCAUGCAUGGAGAGGGGAAGGAAGCAGCCCCCUCUGGCUCAAAUAAGAAGGUCAAUAAAUGAAGGACUAAGGUGAUGUGCUGUGGGUUACUCUGAUUCCUAUAUGGCACAUGUGUCACAGGAGCACCAACACAGGCCUAACCCUUACCAUUCUUCUACUUUAUAACCAACCCAUAUUAUUGAUUCUAAGGUGGAAAGUAAGAGUUUUGGUUUUUGUUUUUUAAAGAAAGACACGGAUUCAAGUACAGAUCAUAGAAACAAUAGAAAAUCGCAUCAAACACGAAGAUAAUAAUGACACAAGAUACAGAAACUUUAGAACUCAGAUUAUAAUUGGCUGGGCUGCAAUCAGAUCGAUUUUUUGAUAGUUUAGGCUUGAAAUUGGAAUGAGUCACCAAUGAUCUAACAUUUUUUUGAAAAAGAUGUUUACUUAGGGGGCAGCUGGGUACCCAGUGGAUUGAGAGCCAGACCUAGAGAUGGGAGGUCACCAAUUAUUGUUGCUGUCACAUGGGAGGAAACUGGUAUACCAACUGAAUGUGCUCCCAUUAAAAAAAGGGAAGAGUUAUGAAUAAAGAUUAAACAGAAAGAAAUGAUGUUCAAAUGUAAAAAUGAUCAAAUUCUGCUGAAAAGGUAACUAUAAACACAUGUUAAUUUUUAUGUAAAAAAGUAGUAUUCUAAUUUAUUAAAAAGCAAAUUAUAUUCUUGGAUCUGAUCGUAUUCGACAUCCUACUAUGAAACAUUUCUUGAACUAGAGACCUAGCAAUAUCAUUAUGAAUUUCUAUUCUAUGCUUAAAUACUUUGCCAUUUGAUUCAAAAAUACUACUUUAAUUUAGAAUUUAUAACCCCAAAGAGCUAUAAAACUGUGCAUACCCUUUGACUACGCAAUACCACUACUAGGUCUGGAGGGUGAACGCUAAAACUAAAAUUCUCUAUUGUACAUGUCAUGAUGCUCUCCAUCUUCUGCUCACUCCUAAUUCCUCUCCUCGCCGUAGAUCUGGUGGAUAGUAGGUUCCCUGUUUUUCUCAUUUGUUUAUAUCCCCUUUUAUGCCUAGGUCAUAGCUCCAUUUUGACCUUAUCUUGGUGAAUGAUAGAAGCUAAUGGUCUACACCUAGGUUUUGCCAUACUCCUUUCCAACUGUCCCAGGAAUUUUGACCAAAUAGUGACUGCUUACUCCCAAAAUUUGGAUCUAUACUCUGUCAAGUCCCCAAUGACUAUACUCUUUUAUUGCUGUUAGCUGAAUGUCUGUUCUGUCCCACUGAUCUAAUUACUGCUUAUGGGUGCAGUUUAGAAUCCGGCACUGCUCUGCUUCCUUAAUACGCUUUCAUUAAUUCAUUUGAUAUUCUUGAGCUUUUGUUCUCCCAGAUGGAUGCCCGAUAUAUGGGAUGGCUAUAGAAACACAUAUAUACACACACAGGAUGGAUACUACGUAAAUGAGUCAAGCACAUGCGAGCAGGAGCCGUCUCCCCAUAGCAGUCUUCAAAGGAACAGUGCUGUGGGGAACACACUUAUUUAUGUCUAUGGACGUGUAAAACGGUUUGUGUCUCUUACCAGGCUGCAAUCUCAGCGAGGCGAGAUGGCCUCAUAGCACCAAGCGCAGUGCUCAGCCCCGGACAUUUCAUGAAUGCCUGCUUCUGAUACAGACGCUGCACGAUGAAUUCCAUUUCUCCCCCGGCUCUACAUAGCGUCUGGAAGCCAAUCAAGACAGCUUCCAACCAUCGAAAGAAUCCCUAACAGCAGGAACUCUCCCUGAAUGACCGGGCCACCUGCGCCCUUCCUGGAGAUCUGUGGACAGGGACAAGAUGCCGACCUGUUCCAGGGCUUGCAGGAGGAUUGCUCUUCGGUUAUUGCUGGCACCAAAUGGAUGCUGGAGCCCCUUCCAACUCUGAAGUUCUACAACACGGAGGCUCGGAAACUAUUCUCUCCAUUCAGGAAAACUGUCGUCUGUCUGCUGAAUAGAACAACUGUUUCUGAUUCCUGUCUACGGCUCUGUGGCUAAGUGAACACCAACUGGUCUAGAAUGACUCCGGGCUUCUUCAGACCGAGGACAGUGCUCUAGGUUGGCUUAUCCAUCGUAAUUGGGGUACAGACGUCCCACCUUGCCCUUUUUGGCGUGCCUCCCCUUUUUUUGACUUUGGUCACUGAUGGAGGGAAGUCUGGAAGAGAAAUGUCCUUCUACCAGUGCAGACUGCAAAGGAAGACAGCCAUUGUUCUGCAAUUGGCAGUCUCAGACACAUUCGUGGAACAUGAAUGGCCACACGAUUUGCCUGGAGUUUCAGGAACAGGUUGCAUGUGUCACUGGCAACAUCUGGACGCACAUCUUUCGGCUUCUGAAGCCACUGCUCCUGAUUGGCAUGUAUGACCUAUGUUGUCUUGUAUUAUAAAGAUGGGUGUGUGUGUAUGGAUCUACAGCCUUUCCUACGGGGUUAAGUGACAUGUGAGAAGGAACUGUGUAUCCCAUUCAGUAAUGAACAUAGUGAUUUGUACAUACUAAGCACAAAGUAGAGAGUUAUGGAAUAAACGCACAAUGAAGGCUGGCCUGUGUGCUUGAAAAGAGAGUACUUGAUACGGAGGUAAACACGUCUCACCUACAUCCAAUGUCUGGUGUUUGUGCCCUCGCGACAGAAUUUUUUUUGGAAAUACUUUUCAUGGCAAUUCAACUUUUUGCUGUUUAUUAAGACUUCAGAGAUACAAACCAGUAGCUUAGUAAUUGCUUUCUUGAAUCUGCCUUUAAUAAUUACAUUUAGCAAAACUGUAUUGAAAAUUAGAAAGGCAGAGACUAAUGGAAAACUAGAUUUUUCACUGAAUUAGAAAGCAAGACAAUCCAUAUAUUGACAACGCUUCAAGUUGAAACAGAUCAGGAAAACUGUUUUGGACUGUUUGUGCAAAGAGGCAAACACAGGCCUGAUGGGCAGUGGCAUCUGCAUUUUAUGGGAGGAGAGAAACUAGGAGAGAUUUCAUGUAAAUAGGUGUCUUGAGACAGGGCAGUACAAAUGUGAUUUAGAUUCAUGCCAUUUGAAUCUUCGUAAGUCUGAAUUUUCUCCUUAGCACUAACAAAAAGCAGGAAAAAAAUAAAUGUAUUAGUAUGGAAAUACUUUGACUUAAAAAAGGAAACUUAUUAAGAGCCAUAUCAUUAUAACAAGAAGCAAUCUGUUCAGAAAGAUGGUGGGAAAAGAGCUUUUUUUGACUUGUCUUUAUAGUGUUUACAAUUUUUUCAGAAACUUAUAAAGACAUUCAAAUCAAAGUUGAAUUUGUGUUCAAAUAAUAACUGAAGAUUUAUUUAAAAUACAAAUGUUAUUGAUAUCUUCUAUUUUACAAAACCUACAUUUCCUACUCUGGGAACUGUUGGUUCAAGAAAAUCAUUUUGGCAACUAGAUGGAUUAGAGAGGAGAAAGAUUUGAAACAGGAAACCUCUAAGCAAGAGGUGAUGAAAGUAUGAACUAGGUUGGUGACUGUGUAAGUAAACAGACAGAGAUAGAUAUAUAAAUACAAAUAUACAUACAAUAUUUAUUACAUGAUUACUAUGUGCCAGACUCUAUGCUAAGCACUGGUGAUAUUAAUACAAGCAAGCCAGGCAUUCUUUGCAGAAAAGCAGUUUAUAAUGGAAGCAGACAACACAUAAGGGGAUGUUGGAAGUCGGGGAGAAACAGACUUCUGAAAGAUGGUGAGAAUUUAGCCAGGUAGUGGCAUUGAGGUUUGUGUCUUGUCAAAAUAAGGCAAAAAAUUCACCUUUCAGAUCUGGGGGAUCCUAUGGACAGAGUCCAAGUUUCUGGCAGAACGAGGAACAGAACUAUUCCCAAAGGGUGCUAGAAGACUGUCUGUCCUUAGAUCCAGCCAUAGCACUGCUGGGUUUGUACCCCAAAGAGACAAUAAGGAAAAAUACAUGUACAAGAACAUUCAUAGCUGCGCUCUUUGUGGUGGCCAAAAAUUGAAAAAUGAGGGGAUGCCCUUCAAUUGGGGAAUGGCUGAACACACUGUGGUAUAUGUUGGUGAUGGAAUACUAUUGUGCUCAAAGGAAUAACGAACUGGAGAAUUUCUGUGUGAACUGGAAAGACUUCCAGGAAGUGAUGCAGAGCGAGAGGAGCAGAACCAGGAAAACAUUGUACACAGAGACUGAUACACUGUGGUACAAUCAAAGGUGAUGGACUUCUCCAUUAGUGGCAAUGCAGUGACCGUGAACCACUAUCCACACUCAGAGGAAAUACUGUGGGUGUAGAAGCAGAAGAAAAACAGCUGCUUGAUUGCCUGGGUCGAGGGGAUAUGGCUGGGGAUGGAGACUCUGAAUGAACAUCCCAGUGCAAAUGCCAACAACAUGGAAAUGGGUUCUGAUCAAGGACACAUGUAAUACCCAAUGAAACUGUGGGAAAGGUGGGUGGAGGGGAGGGAGGGAAAUAAAGUGAGUAUUGUAACCAAUAAAUAAUGUUCUAAAUUGACUAAAUAAAUUCAUUCAAAAGGAAAAAGGAGGAGGAACAGAGCAUAAACAUAUAUGAAAGAUAAGUGAACUUUAAAAUGCCAGUGGAUUAGCUAUGUAGGAGAAAAGUGAAAGUGUCUGGGAUGAUUGGAAGGAUGGCUGAUGCUCUUGACAAUAACAAUAGUAAUAAGGAGAGAAGGAUCUGUAGAUAAAGAUAAUCUUUUGGAAGUGCUGAGUUUGAGAUGUCUCUAGGGCAUCUAGUUCUAAAUGUAUAAAGUCUAAAUAUAUGAGAGGAAAAUAUUUGCCAAGAUAUUGCCAAGAUGCUAAACCUAUGGCAGCUGCUGAGAUCAAGCAAGACAGUACAGAGGGAGAAGAGAAAGUCAAGAAAAAGCAAUGAGGGUCACCAUGAUAACUAGGCAUAACAUGGAUAAAGAUUCAGCAAAGGAGAAUGAAAAAAGUGGUCAAAGCGGUAACAUAAAAAGAAGGUAUCAGCAUGAUGCUGUCAAGGAGUCAAAGAUGUCAAAAGAAAAGGAAGAAGAGAAUGGCAGCUAGCAUUUACAUAUAGUGUUGUAAGGGUUGCAGUGUUUUACAUCUGUUAUUUCAUUUGAUCUUCACAGCCCUGUGGAGUGGGUAUUAUUAUUAUUAUUCCUAUUUUACAAAUGAGGAAACCAAGGCUGAGAUAGGUUAAGCACCUUGUCCAGGCUCACACAGAUCAAUGUCUGAGACAGGAUCUGAACUCCUCCAAAUCAAGCAAGCUAUCUGUUGUGCCACCCAACUACUGUGAAGACCAUUUGAAGAAAUUGGGGAUGGUUAGUCAGGAGCUUCAAGGAAGACUUACAAAAGCCAUGAGAGUGGACUUCAAUUAUUUGAAGAGUGGUCAUAUGGAAGGAGAUUUGACUUAUUCUGCUUGGCCCAAGAAGGCAGCUUUAGAAGGAACUGGUAAGGGAGCAGUUAGGGAGCUCAGUAGAUUGAGAGCCAGGUCUAGAGAUGGGAGGUCCUGAGUUCAAAUCUGGACUCAGACACUUCCUACCUACAUGACCCUAUUCCCUUGAUUCCCAUUGCUUAGCCUUGGAACCAGAAAGCCAGAAGGUUAGGUUUUCAUUAAAAAAAAAAAAAGAAAUAAGAAAUUGUAAAGGAAUAAACUUGGGCUUCAUGUCAGAAAAUAAACUAAUUUCUGGCUAAUUUAAGGCUAUCUAAACAUGGAAAUGGCUCUCUCAGAAGGUAUAGUUUUGAAGAGCAUCACUUCAUUGGAAUUCUAGAGGCAAAAGCCAUGUGAUAGGAAUAAUAAUAUCUAAGAUUCUCCUUCCACUUUUCUCCCUCCCCAACUCCAAAUUGUAAUAUUAGGCUAGUUAUUUUACUUUGCUAAAGGGCUGUCCCUAAGACUUGAUGGGGGGGGAGGGGUUGUUAAUGUUCAAGUUUCUUAGCUGUGCUUCCUGAUGGUCUCAGAUCAAGUUGAUAGGGUUUUAUCAUACCAAAAGGCAUUAAAAAGGCUUGUCAAUGUGUAAUCUGGGCCAUUUAGAUUAGGCAAAUACUCCAAGGUAUUCUUCCCAGCUGAUGACACAUUUCUAUAGAGUGACACAGGGCUAUAUGUACCAGAGCUAAGUGCUGUAUCUUUAUAGUGCAUCUUUUUUAUGCUAUGGCUAAAUAAAUAUUUUUGUUAACUACUGAAUAAGCUUAGAGUAUCUCCUUUCAGUCUAAUAAUGAGUCAAAUUCUUUAAGCAUGGAUUGAACUAAAUAAAUAGUCACUUAAGUUCUUUCAAAUUCUGAAAUUCCUUGACUGACUCAAGUGAGGAAUAGUUUUAUAAACUUACAUUGAUGCCCUAUGGAGUCAUAUGUUUAAACCACUUUUGAACCUGGGUUCAAAUCUGACCUCCGGGACCCCCCUACAAGUUUUAAAAAUGUAUCUAGUCUUUGGUUUCUUUAUCUGUAAUAUGAAGGGAUUUGGACUUGAUGACUUCUAACAUUCCUUGCAAUUCUAAAUCUAUACAUUCUGAUUUCCAGUCAAUAACAUAUUCUAUUCUGUAUGUAUUAUUUUCUCCCUGAAAAAUAUUUUGAAUUUUAUAUUAUCAAGCUUGUCUAUUUUGUCAUUUAUAACUUCCUCAAUACUUUAUCUCUCGUUCCUCCAUAAUUUUGAAAGAGAAGACUCUAUUCUUCUUAAAUUGUACUAUGAUGUAAUUUUCAUAUUCAGAUGAUUUAUUCUUUUAAAAUAUAAUGUGGUUUAUGGCGUAAGAUAUCUUAAACUAUUUAAACUAUUUUCUGGCAAACUACUGUCCAGAUUUCUUAGUAGUUCUUGUCAAAGAAAAAGUUCUUCCCAUGGAAGUUUAUUUUCCUGGGUUAAUCUAAUAAUAUAGUGUCUUGAUUUGUUGCUAGUUCUUGUUUGUUUGUUUUUUUAAUUUGUCAGUCUGUUUUUAAUCAUUCUCAUGCACAAUAAAGAACGCAGAAUGAAAGACUAAAAAUUAAUUGGGAACUAAAUAUUCUUAACCUAAAGAUGACUAGCUCAAAGAACAAAUCAUAGAAAUAAUCAAAAAUUUCAUUAAAGAAAAAAGCCAACGAGGAAACAACAUAUCAAAAAUUAUGAGAUACAGUCAAAGCUGUACUUGGGGGUAAAUUUAUAUCUAAAUGCUUACAUAAAAAAAAAAAAAAAGAACAGAUUAUAACCUGGGCAUGCAACUUUAAAAACUAAAAAAAGAACAAAUUAAAAAUUCCCAAUUAAACACUAAAUUAGAAAUUCUAAAAGUCAAAGGAAGAUUAAUAAUAUUGAAAGUAAGAAAACCACUGAGCUGAUAAGAGACUUAUUUAAACAAAUAAACCAUUAGUUAAUUUGAUUACAAAAAGGAGAAAACCAAAUCACCAGUAUAAAAAAUGAAAAAGGUGAAGUCACAACCAAUUAAUUAAAAAUUAAAGCAAUUAUUAGGAGUUACUUUGCCCAAUUAUAAUGCCAAUAAGUCUGUCAAUCUAAGUGAAAUGGAUGAAUAUUUAGAAAAAUAAAUAUUGGCCAGAUUAAUAGAUGAAGAAAUAGAAUACAUAAACAACCCCAUUUCAGAAAAAAAAAAGAAAACAAAUCAUCAAUGAAUUCCCCAAGAAAAUAUCACCAAGGCCAGAUGAUUCACAAGUGAAUUCUAUCAAAUAGUCAAGGAACUAUUAAUUUCAAUACAACAUAAAGUAUCUGGAAAACUAGUUGAAGAAGGAAUUCUUGCAAAUUUUCUUUAUGACAUAAAUAUGGUAGUGAUAUCUAAAUAAGGCAGAGCAAAAACAUAAAAAGAAAAAUAUAGACCCAUCUCCCUAAUGAUUUUUGAUGCAGAAAUUCUUUUUUUUUAAACAUUAUCUUCCAUCUUUGAAUUAAUACUGUGUAUCGGUUCCAAGGCAGAAGAAUGGUAAGGCUAGGCAAUGAUAGCUAAGUGAUUUUCCCAGGGUCACAUAGCUAGGAGGAGCCAAGGUCACAUUUGAACCCAGGACCUUCAUCUCUGGACCUGGAUCUCAAUUCACUAGCUGCCCUCUAUGAAAACUCUAAAUAAGAUACUAGCAAGGAUAUUACAGCAAUAUCUCAAAAGCAUCAUAUGCCAUGAUGGGUUGGGUUUUAUACUAGGAAUAGAGGGAUGGGAUAAUGGGAAAACUAGGAGCAUAAUUGACCAUAUCAGUAACAAAACCAAUAGAAACCAUAUGAUUAUCUCAAUAGAUGAAGAAACUUUUUACAAAAUACAAUAUCCAUUCCUUGUAAAAAUGUUAGAAAACCCUGGAAUAAGAGGAAUUUUCCUUAAAGUGACAAACAGUAUCUACCUAAAACAAUCAGCAAGCAUUAUCUGUUCUCAAUAAUAUCAGGGGUUAAGCAAGGAUGAACAUUAUCAUUAUUACUAUUUAACAUUGUACUAGAAAUGCUAGCUAUAGCAAUAAGAAAAAGAAUUUGAAGGAAUUAGAAUAGGCACUAAAGAAAUAAAGUUAUUACUCUUUGCAUUAGAUAUGAUGCAAAUAUUCAGAGGACCCCAAAAGAAUCAACCAAAAAACUAAUUGAAACAAUAACUUUAGUAAAGUUACAAGAUAUAAAAUAAACCCACAUAAAUCAACAAUACAUCUAUUACCAUCAACAAAAUACAACAGCAAGAUAUAGAAAGAGAAAUUUCAUUUAAAAUAAUUAUAGACAAUACAAAAUACCUGAAGUUCUACCUACCAAAAUAAACCAAAUCUGAAUAUAAUUACAAAACAUUUUUCAGACAAAUAAAGUUUUCUGCAUAGACAACUGGGACAUACCAAGUCAAUUCUAUCUAAAUAAAUUUACCUUUUCAGUACCAUACCAAACUACCAAAAAUUAUUCAUCAAGCAUAAAAAAAUAGUAAAAUUCAUGACAGAACAAGAGGUCAAGAGUAUCAAGGAAAUUAAUGGAAAAAGUGAAGGAGAUAUAAAACUAUAUUAUUAAGUGAUAAUCACUAAAACAAUCUGGUACUGGCUAGGUUAGGUAAUCAACACAGCAGUAAAUGACCACAGUAACCUACAGUUCCAUAAACCCAGAGAUUGAAGAUUUGGGGGAAGAACUCCCUAUCUGACAGAAUUGUUGAGAAAACUGGAAAACAAUAUGGCAUAAACUAGGCAUAAACCAACAUCUCACACUAUAUAUUGUAGGAAUAUAAGUUAGGGAUAAGACUGGUUUCUAGAGUUAGUUGAAAGAAGAGAAUUUUGAGAUAAGCCCUGGGAGAGGAUUCUGUUUAGGACAAGGAAUUAUGGGAAUCUGAACUGAAAAUAACUGAAACUUCCUUCCUUCUUGGAUUUCGUCUGAGCUGGAAGUUGGUUUUGUCUCUCUGCCUGAAUUUCCAUCAAGCUGAAGGAGGAGUUUGGAUCUAAGAGAUUCUCCCUGGAUAGCCAAGAUUUCGUGGAGGAAUCUUUGACACGUAGGUAGAGAACUUAAUUUGGAGGAAUGCAAUUUCCCUAAGUCCAAAAAUCAUCUGCCAGUGGUCCAGCCAACAGAAUUCCUCUUGGGCGAAGGGCAUAAAGGAUACCGCAGGGUAGUGUCUUGAUGCUUGCAUGAACUGUACUUCAGUGAGGCAGAGCUGCACAAAGUCCUCAGCCUUGCUCUCUUAUGACCAAAAAUUACUGCUGGUCCACGUCUGACCAAGUUCUCGGUGCUCCAACAGGGCUUCCUUCAGCCACUUCCACGGGUGGGAGAACAAGUUGUUCUCAGUCACCAGCUCCAUGGGGACAUCUUCCGUGCUUGGGGCAGAUGCCCCCCUCACUCACUGGCAGUUGGAGGCCAUGAGAUGCCCUCCUCCUAGCCCCUCUGCCAAGAGGGUUUGCAGAGCGGCCACUGUUCAUGCCAUCACUUCUUGGAGCCUCAGGCCAGAGUGGACAAUAAGGACGGAGAAGCCACCCUGAAAAGGGCAGCCCUCACGUCCGAAGUGACGGACUUCCUGAGCCCCCAAUAAACAUCUGCUGAGUGAUGAGAGUCCAGGAGAGCGAUCGGGCCUGGACAUUCUGAUUAAAGGAUCUUUGGCCAGAAGACACAACUGAAACUAUGCCAGCGAACGAGAUCAUGAAAUGAGAUCGAUAUACAGAGAGAAAGAAGGGUCUGGGCAGAGGUUUGGGGGACACACCAAGCUUGGGAUGGAUAAAGAUCCAACAAGUCUGAGAAGGGUGGGAUGAGAGGAUCAGAAUUCGACAUGGUACCCGACCCUGAUGAAUGUACCGAGCAAGAGAGCGGAGAGAGGAAGGGGGUUCAGGACAAAACCUUGUAUUAGGGGCCAGUAACAUCCCCUGCGCCUUGCAAGCUCCUUGUACAAGGGUUGAAUUUUGUAACUGAACUCUUCCCACCUAAACAAGGCAGAGAGGUCGGGAUUCAAUGAGAAUGGGGUUAGCUAGGCGACAGUUAGCAGCGGCUAACUGAAUUUACAAUUAGGCACGUUAUUUGGCUUGCAAAAUUUAAAUAAAUGAAUAAAGUAUUAAGUGCCUGCUAGUGCAAAGCACCGUGAUGAUCAGAGUAGAAAUGGAAAUGUGGAACAAUCCCUGCUCUGAGAGAGCUUGAAUGGGCCCUCACCUAUUGUGGGAGUUAAGUUCCAGAGAGCCCCCACACUAGGUGAAUCUGUGAAGUUUGUUAUUUCUAUUUUCAGUCUUUCUAAGCCCUUCCCACUCUCCUAGAAACCUUUUCCACACUCUUAUUAACCUGCAGUCACUGAACCAAUCAACACCCAGGAUACAGAACACAGCGCUGUGGUUGGUCGCCUUUCAUUCCAUCUGCCCUGUGCCAUGAUAAGUUUAACUCCACAGUACAGAAUUAGAUUAAAAAAAAACCCGAAAUACAAUGAAGGCAGGAUCAGUGAACUAUAAUAUAGCGAGGGACAGCGAUAAAAUGGAAAAUACACCUACAAGUCCUAUGAAAAGGCACGCUGGUGCUCGGGACACUACAGCAAAGCAGAUUCUAGUUCUUUCUUUCGUGUCAUUUUCACGGAUAAAAUCACAUUAAUUUCUGAUGUCGAACCAGAGGACAAUACCAAGGAGUCCUGUGACAAAAGUUUUCUUUUCUGGGUCUUCAAGAGCUAUGGCUACAGCACUUGCAGAGAAGUUGCCAGGACGCAUCUGCGCAGGACUUCCUUCCUAGAACAGUGCCUAAGAACACACGGCUGUUCCAAAAGUUCUUGAGUUCAGUGUCUUGUCAUUGGUGACAAAUCCAGCACAAGAACUACAUGAAAGGAUACAUGAGCUACUUCCCUUUAAGUUCCAUGCACUCAUUAAAGGUAAGGGCAUUCUUUUUUAAUUAUUAUUUAAAGCUGAGAAGGGGAGUAGUCUCUAGACUCCAUACUUAUCCAAGACAUCUGGAUUCUUUUUUUCAGUAGGUCAGUAUUAACCUUUAUUUCUAUUUCCUGAGCCAUGGGAUUCAUUGAGUGAAAUGCUAUAGGGAAAAUCCAUUGAAGCCUUUCCAUUCAAAACACCACAGACCUGGCAUUAAAAGAAAUAGGCAAGUGUUUGAGGGACUGACUGAAUUAUUUGUAUUGUCUGUCUUCAUUAAAGCAAGUUUUUCUCUAAAGAGAUCUGAAAGGGUCAUAGAAGGCUCCAGAGACUCUGACCCAGGAACAAUGAUGCCACCAACCAGGAGAAUCAUCAUGGCCAGUAGGUAAACAAAGGGGUAGCAUGUAUUCUGAAGACAAAGAUGAUUAUCUUUUUUGUCUCUAUCUCCUCACCUCUUCUUUUGUCCUCUACCAGGUCUUUGACUGCCACUAUAGUGGAGGCUUAUCACAAGCAUGACUUAAUAAGAUUAGACAAUGUAGAUAAUAACUUUAAGUUAAAUGAAUUAGAAAUGCAAAUAAUUAUAAUUAAAUUGUGAAUAAGUUAUUUAUAUAAUACUUUAAAAAUUAAUUUGGUGAUUUGUCCCAUGGAAAUAAGAAUCCAAAUUGCUAUAGUCCAUACAAAUAAUUGUAUUUUUAUCUAUAUGGCUAAAGUGUUCACCUGACAAAGACAGGUUUUGCCUAUUUGUUGAUAGGUCCAGGCAAAGAGGCAAUAAUAUGGUGUCAUUUUAUGCAGGCUCUAUGGUUUAUACUCGGUAUGAGCCAUUGGAAAGUGACAUUGUCAAUUUUUUUCCUGUUUAGAAUGCUGAGAGAGUUGAGUUCAGUCAUGUUUAACAAAAAACAGUUUUUAUUCAACCACAAAGGAUCUGGCUUUCAGAAAUAUUUAAACCAACUCAGUUGUGUGAAGACUAGAUUUGGCUCUCCUCUGAUUGUAACAAAGAAGAUACUUAGUUCUUCCCUGAUUGUGAAGAUUUAAAUUGUAACUCAUGUCUAUUUUUAGAUUUAAUCCCCAUAAGGGUAAACACCCUUUUUAAAAGUUAAGUAUGGAGACCUGCCUAUUUUUAGAUUCAGUCACAAAAAGUGCAAACACGGUACUUAAAGUUGAAUGGGAAGAUCUGCCCAUGUUAGAUCUAAUCACCAACGGUGUAAACAUCCCAUUAAAUCAUUUAGUGGGAGGUCUGUGACCCACAUGUGAAAUAGUGGAUAACAAACCAGAAUUGACUUAACUGCCUUCUGGGAAGUCCUAGAACAGAGAGUCAACUAUGAUUGGUAGACGUGGAAUUAAGGGAAGGUACAGGAAGUGACGCAAGAGAAAAUGUCUUUAAAAGGGGCUGUCACUUCCUGUGAGAGGGAGUUCUUCAUUUUUGGAAGUGAAGGCAGGAGUCUUGGAGUGGAACUUCCUGUGAGAAUUCAGUUCUUCAUGCUUUUGAGUCGAGGCUGGUGAAGAGGGGCAGAAGGAUCUGCUGACUGAACUGAUACAUAGUGAGUGAAAAGGCUGACUCCCUUUCUGGGGGUACCAACCUCCAGAAAGGCCCACCAUUUUGAGACUCCUUUCCCUUGGCAGGCACCUCUGAACUCCUGGCUCAAGAGGAUCUCUCUUUUUCCUCUCUAUCUCUCUUCCUUAAUAUCAUCCCUCUUUAUUGUAAAAUAAACUACCAUAAGAUCCAUUCUGGCUUUAGUAAUUCAUUUAGGAUUCAGUAAUUAAAUCCCUGGUGACCAACCUCUUAAAUGAUCAAGUCCAGUCCUUUAAAAAUUAACCCCUCCCCCCCUUACAGCUAUAUGACCCUAAAUUUUACCUAUUGCUUUAAAUAUAACCUAGUCAUGGAUUAUGAAAUGUUACAAAAAUCUACUGAAAUAUAAAAUAUAUGAAAAUACAAGUCAAAAUUACAAUGCACUUGAGCUACCAAAUAUGAACUCAAGCUGCUAGCAACACAAAAAUAAACCUGCAAUUACAUAUCAUUUCCUUAGUAACCAAAUAGAUCCAUGAAGUAAAACUAAUGUCUUCUUAAUACUAUAAACGUUACUAGACAGAUUACUAGAUCAAACAGAAUAUUUUUUUAAUUUUUACCCAAUUAAUACCCUAAAUGGAAUUUUAAAUAAAAAUGUUUGUUGUAUUAUUCAUUAUUAUUUUUAGAGUCAACAAAUUAGAGACCUACCCUUCUUAUAGUGUUAUGUACUUUACAUAUAGUAUUACAUGUUAUUUCUCUCAUGAGAAUAUGGUUCCUUGAAGGUUGAGACCAUUUUUGCUUUUUCUUUAUAUUCAGUGUUUGGCAUCUAGCUAUAGUAAGUGAUCUCUGACUGAAAACUUUAUUAGCUAUAAUUGCUGAGAGUUUCUAUAAUAAUAAAGCAGCAUACCUAUAACUGACUAAUCUGGAAGUACCUAUAAUUUGGAGACUGACAAUUUAUUUACCAUGCAUAGAAUAACUUUAAGUUGAUGUAUUAGUGGCAAUUAUGCAAUGUUUAUUGGUUCAUAGAAGGAAGCAUCAAAAUGUUCCUCCCCACAAGAAAGAAAAGGAGUACAAGAACAAAGAAAGGGGGUAGAUAGAAAUAAGGGAUUUAAUGCAAGCUGGCACUUAUUAUCCUCUCCUUACCCUUUAUAAUGUAGAGACCCUAUCUAAUUUCUUACUUGUUCACAAAUAUAUAUCAAAGAAGAAUUAUUACUUAUUGAUGAGUGAAAUUACUAAUAAUUGUUUAAAAAAGAUUAUUGUUGAAUCACUAGAUAAUAUUUUAGAUAAUUAUUUAAUAUUUGAUAGUGAUUGAUAUGUUCAAAAUCUCUUUCACUAUAACAACAUCAUGGGAAUAUUGUCAUACUUGCCCCAUCUACCAGGAUAUUAUAUUGGCAAAUGGGUCAAAAUAACACAAUAGCAGACUUGCCUUUGAACUUUGGGCAUGACAACAUUUUCAAUUGCUAUGAUAGCGAUGUCGCAUGUUAAAGACAAGGGCUUUGAUCUACUUUAGGCAGAUCUGGGAAAGAAAUUGACUGAAAGCCUGCUGAAAGAGACUGCAUCAGAUACUACCUGAUAACCAUCAGAUGUGCUUUCAAUGUCAAAGUUGGAUCCCUGGCUCUUAUUUUUAAAGACUUUUAAAUUUAUAUUCAUUAUUGUUCUGGUAACAUCUUCUCUGCCCCAAAAAAGUAUAAAAGCAUAAUCUAGACCCUAUGACUUCAGACACAGAAUAGCAGCACAGUGGAUUAUUGUCACUAAUAUUAACAAGUACCUUUCUCAUCUUGGAUGAAUCUCCCAUUUUCUUUGUAAAUCCCAAAUGUCAUUUUUGGUUUUGCGAUUUUUCACUUACCUUACUGAUAUCUAAUUAUAAAUGUAUAUUAAAAGAAGUGUGUGCCAUGCAUGAAUGGAGAAAGAUUCAAAUAAUAAUUAAAUAAUUACAAUUAAUAAUAAUUAAUAAUUAGAUUUAUCAGCAUUGAUGUUAACUUUUUAAAGAUGUGUGUAAUGUCUUAAUAAUAAGCAAUGGAACUUGAGAGACAAUCUCUUGGAUCAGUAAAAUCUGACCU